CUGGCUCAGGAUGAACGCUGGCGGCGUGCUUAACACAUGGCAAGUUGGUGCGGUGAUCUCGAAGAAGUUUCGGACGGAAAGGGAGAGCAGCAGCGGACGGGUGAGUAAAGCACAAGGACUUGACCCGAAGAGGGGGACAACUGUGGGAAACCACAGCUAAUACCCCAUAAGCCGAGAGGUGAAAGCAGUAAUGCGCUUUAGGAGAGACUUGUGUCCUAUCAGGUAGUUGGUGAGGUAACGGCUCACCAAGCCGAAGACGGGUAGCCGGACUGAGAGGUUGUACGGCCACAUUGGAACUGAGAGACGGUCCAGACUCCUACGGGAGGCAGCAGUGGGGAAUAUUGGGCAAUGGGGGGCCAACCCUGACCCAGCGACGCCGCGUGAGGGAAGACAGCCUUCGGGUUGUAAACCUCUGUUGCAGGGGAAGAAGAAAGUGACGGUACCCUGCGAGGAAGCUCCGGCAAACUACGUGCCAGCCGCCGC
rnacentral:rRNA from 1 species